rnacentral:rRNA from 1 species
UACGUAGGGCGCAAGCGUUGUCCGGAAUUAUUGGGCGUAAAGAGCUCGUAGGCGGUCUGUCACGUCGGAAGUGAAAACCCGGGGCUUAACCCCGGGCUUGCUUUCGAUACGGGCAGACUAGAGUGUGGUAGGGGAGACUGGAAUUCCUGGUGUAGCGGUGAAAUGCGUAGAUAUCAGGAGGAACACCGGUGGCGAAGGCGGCCCUCUGGACGGUGACUGACGCUGAGACGCGAAAGCGUGGGGAGCAAACAGG